rnacentral:rRNA from 1 species
UUUGAUUCUGGCUCAGAACGAACGCUGGCGGCGUGGAUAAGACAUGCAAGUCGAGCGCUGAUUUCAGGGUAGCAAUAUUCUGGAGUCGGAGCGGCGCAAGGGUGCGUAACACGUGGGCAAUCUGCCGUGAAGUUGGGGAUAACUCGCUGAAAGGCGAGCUAAUACCGAAUGUGAUCACCGGGGGACAUCCCCUGGGGAUCAAAGUUGGGGACCGUAAGGCCUGACGCUUCACGAUGAGCCCGCGGCCUAUCAGCUAGUUGGUGAGGUAACGGCUCACCAAGGCUAAGACGGGUAGCUGGUCUGAGAGGACGACCAGCCACACUGGAACUGAGACACGGUCCAGACACCUACGGGUGGCAGCAGUCGAGAAUUUUUCACAAUGGGCGAAAGCCUGAUGGAGCGACGCCGCGUGGGGGAUGAAGGCCUUCGGGUCGUAAACCCCUGUCAUUUGCGAACAAACCUUCCGGCCUAACACGCCGGGAGCUGAUUGUAGCGAAAGAGGAAGGGACGGCUAACUCUGUGCCAGCAGCCGCGGUAAUACAGAGGUCCCAAGCGUUGUUCGGAUUCACUGGGCGUAAAGGGUGCGUAGGCGGUGGGGUAAGUCUGAUGUGAAAGCUCGCAGCUCAACUACGAAAUGGCAUUGGAAACUACCCCGCUAGAGGAGUGGAGGGGGGACUGGAAUACUUGGUGUAGCAGUGAAAUGCGUAGAUAUCAAGUGGAACACCAGUGGCGAAAGCGAGUCCCUGGACACCUCCUGACGCUGAGGCACGAAAGCUAGGGGAGCAAACAGGAUUAGAUACCCUGGUAGUCCUAGCUGUAAACGGUGCGCGUUUGCUGUAAAAGGAAUCGACCCCUUUUGUGGCGAAGCUAACGCGUUAAACGCGCGCCUGGGGAGUACGGUCGCAGAUUAAAACUCAAGAAAUUGACGGGGCUGCACAGCGUGAGUAUGUGGCUCAUCGAUGCACGCGAGAACGUACCUGGCCUUGAMMAUGCACGUUGGUWAAARCC